GUGUCAGCCGCCGCGGUAAUACGUAGGUGACAAGCGUUAUCCGGAAUUACUGGGCGUAAAGCGCACGCAGGCGGCGCACUAAGUCUGACGUGAAAUCUCUCGGCUUAACCGGGAGGGGUCGUUGGAGACUGGUGGGCUUGAGGCGAUGAGAGGGGUGUAGAAUUCCCGGUGUAGUGGUGGAAUGCGUAGAUAUCGGGAGGAAUACCAGUGGCGAAAGCGGCACCCUGGCAUUAGCCUGACGCUCAUGUGCGAAAGCGUGGGGAGCGAACGGGAUUAGAUACCCGAGUAGUCC
rnacentral:rRNA from 1 species